rnacentral:misc_RNA from 1 species
AAGUCGUAACAAGGUUUCCGUAGGUGAACCUGCGGAAGGAUCAUUAUCACGUAUCCACGUUAUAAACCAACUCGUGAACCGUUCUCAGUUUCGGUAACAUUGGGAGUGCACAGUAAGUCUGAGUGAAGAAAAUCCGGAUAUUAUUAGUCUUUCAAUGACUGACUCAUGAUAUAAUCAACCCCCUACGUAGGACUGACAGACUGAGAUGAACUCCUUUCCGAAACUGUACUAUUAUUUACAAUUGAAACUCAAUUUUAUUUAAUUGAAAUUGAACUAAACUCUUUUUCUUUAUUUCUUUUGGGAAAUAAGAAAAAAAUUCAUUACGAAACAAAAAGAACAACUCUUAGCAACGGAUAUCUUGGUUCUC